GGAUCGCCCUUCCUACGGGAGGCAGCAGUAAGGAAUAUUGGUCAAUGGACGAAAGUCUGAACCAGCCAUGCCGCGUGAAGGAUGACGGCCCUCUGGGUUGUAAACUUCUUUUAUCUGGGACGAAAAAAGGGCUUUCUAGCUCACUUGACGGUACCAGAGGAAUAAGCACCGGCUAACUCCGUGCCAGCAGCCGCGGUAAUAAGGGCGAUCCC
rnacentral:rRNA from 1 species